GAACGCUGGCGGCAGGCCUAACACAUGCAAGUCGAACGGUAACAGGAAUCAGCUUGCUGAUUCGCUGACGAGUGGCGGACGGGUGAGUAAUGUCUGGGAGACUGCCUGAUGGAGGGGGAUAACUACUGGAAACGGUAGCUAAUACCGCAUAACGUCGCAAGACCAAAGAGGGGGACCUUCGGGCCUCUUGCCAUCGGAUGUGCCCAGAUGGGAUUAGCUAGUAGGUGGGGUAAAGGCUCACCUAGGCGACGAUCCCUAGCUGGUCUGAGAGGAUGACCAGCCACACUGGAACUGAGACACGGUCCAGACUCCUACGGGAGGCAGCAGUGGGGAAUAUUGCACAAUGGGCGCAAGCCUGAUGCAGCCAUGCCGCGUGUAUGAAGAAGGCCUUCGGGUUGUAAAGUACUUUCAGCGGGGAGGAAGGGAGUAAAGUUAAUACCUUUGCUCAUUGACGUUACCCGCAGAAGAAGCACCGGCUAACUCCGUGCCAGCAGCCGCGGUAAUACGGAGGGUGCAAGCGUUAAUCGGAAUUACUGGGCGUAAAGCGCACGCAGGCGGUUUGUUAAGUCAGAUGUGAAAUCCCCGGGCUCAACCUGGGAACUGCAUCUGAUACUGGCAAGCUUGAGUCUCGUAGAGGGGGGUAGAAUUCCAGGUGUAGCGGUGAAAUGCGUAGAGAUCUGGAGGAAUACCGGUGGCGAAGGCGGCCCCCUGGACGAAGACUGACGCUCAGGUGCGAAAGCGUGGGGAGCAAACAGGAUUAGAUACCCUGGUAGUCCACGCCGUAAACGAUGUCGACUUGGAGGUUGUGCCCUUGAGGCGUGGCUUCCGGAGCUAACGCGUUAAGUCGACCGCCUGGGGAGUACGGCCGCAAGGUUAAAACUCAAAUGAAUUGACGGGGGCCCGCACAAGCGGUGGGGCAUGUGGUUUAAUUCGAUGCAACGCGAAGAACCUUACCUGGUCUUGACAUCCACGGAAGUUUUCAGAGAUGAGAAUGUGCCUUCGGGAACCGUGAGACAGGUGCUGCAUGGCUGUCGUCAGCUCGUGUUGUGAAAUGUUGGGUUAAGUCCCGCAACGAGCGCAACCCUUAUCCUUUGUUGCCAGCGGUCCGGCCGGGAACUCAAAGGAGACUGCCAGUGAUAAACUGGAGGAAGGUGGGGAUGACGUCAAGUCAUCAUGGCCCUUACGACCAGGGCUACACACGUGCUACAAUGGCGCAUACAAAGAGAAGCGACCUCGCGAGAGCAAGCGGACCUCAUAAAGUGCGUCGUAGUCCGGAUUGGAGUCUGCAACUCGACUCCAUGAAGUCGGAAUCGCUAGUAAUCGUGGAUCAGAAUGCCACGGUGAAUACGUUCCCGGGCCUUGUACACACCGCCCGUCACACCAUGGGAGUGGGUUGCAAAAGAAGUAGGUAGCUUAACCUUCGGGAGGGCGCUUACCACUUUGUGAUUCAUGA
rnacentral:rRNA from 1 species